CUCCGGUUGAUCCCGCCGGACCCGACUGCUAUCAGAGUGGGACUAAGCCAUGCGAGUCAACAUAGCAAUAUGUGGCAUACGGCUCAGUAACACGUAGUCAACAUGCCCAGGGGACGUGGAUAACCUCGGGAAACUGAGGAUAAACCGCGAUAGGUCAUCACUUCUGGAAUGGGUAAUGACUCAAAUCUACAUGGCCCCUGGAUUGGACUGCGGCCGAUCAGGCUGUUGGUGAGGUAAUGGCCCACCAAACCUGUAACCGGUACGGGCUCUGAGAGGAGGAGCCCGGAGAUGGGCACUGAGACAAGGGCCCAGGCCCUAUGGGGCGCAGCAGGCGCGAAACCUCUGCAAUAGGCGAAAGCUUGACAGGGUUACUCUGAGUGAUUUCCGUUAAGGAGAUCUUUUGGCACCUCUAAAAAUGGUGCAGAAUAAGGGGUGGGCAAGUCUGGUGUCAGCCGCCGCGGUAAUACCAGCACCCCGAGUGGUCGGGACGUUUAUUGGGCCUAAAGCAUCCGUAGCCGGUUCUACAAGUCUUCCGUUAAAUCCACCUGCUUAACAGAUGGGCUGCGGAAGAUACUAUAGAGCUAGGAGGCGGGAGAGGCAAGCGGUACUCGAUGGGUAGGGGUAAAAUCCGUUGAUCCAUUGAAGACCACCAGUGGCGAAGGCGGCUUGCCAGAACGCGCUCGACGGUGAGGGAUGAAAGCUGGGGGAGCAAACCGGAUUAGAUACCCGGGUAGUCCCAGCUGUAAACGAUGCAGACUCGGUGAUGAGUUGGCUUAUUGCUAACUCAGUGCCGCAGGGAAGCCGUUAAGUUUGCCGCCUGGGGCGUACGGUCGCAAGACUGAAACUUAAAGGAAUUGGCGGGGGAGCA
rnacentral:rRNA from 1 species